UAGUCAUAUGCUUGUCUCAAAGAUUAAGCCAUGCAUGUCUAAGUAUAAACAUCUUUAUACAGUGAAACUGCGUACAGCUCAUUAUAUCAGUUAUUAUUUAUUUGAUGGUACCUUACUACAUGGAUACCCGUAGUAAUUCUAGAGCUAAUACAUGCGUCGAAUCUCGACUUCUUCGGAGGAAGAGAUGUAUUUAUUAGAUAAAAAACCCAUGUCGGCUCUGCCGUCCUCAUGUUGGUGAUUCAUAGUAACUGUUCGAAUCGCAUGGCUUUAUGCUGGCGAUAGUUCAUUCAAAUUUCUGCCCUAUCAGCUUUCGACGGUAGUGUAGUGGACUACCGUGGCAUUAACGGGUGACGGAAAAUUAGGGUUCGAUUCCGGAGAGGGAGCCUGAAAAACGGCUACCACAUCCAAGGGAGGCAGCAGGCGCGCAAAUUACCCAAUCCUGACACAGGGGAGUAGUGACAAAAAAUAACAAUACCGGGCCUUUUCAGGUCUGGUAAUUGGAAUGAGUACAAUUUAAAUCCCUUAACGAGGAUCCAUU
rnacentral:rRNA from 1 species